GAUGAACGCUGGCGGCGUGCUUAACACAUGCAAGUCGAACGAAGCACUCUAUUUGUUUUUCUUCGGGCCUGAUUCGUUUGUGACUGAGUGACGGACGGGUGAUUAACGCGAGGUUAACCUGCCCUUUACAGGGGGAUAACAGUAGGAGACGGCUGCUCAUCCCGCAUAAUCUCACAGCAUGGCAUGAUGCAGUGUGAAAAACUCGGGUGGUAUCAGAUGGACCCGCGUUGGAUUAGCUAGUAGGUGAGGUAACGGACCACCAAGGCGACGAUCCAUAGCCGGCGUGUGAGGGGGACCAGUCACAGUGGGACAGGGACAAGACCCAAACGCCUGCGGGAAGCAGCAGUGGGGGAUAUAGGAGAAUGAGCGAGAGGCUGAUGCGGCGAGGGGGCGAGAACGGAGUAGUAGUUCGGUACGUAAAGCUCUAGCAACAGGGAAGAUAAUGACGGUACCUGACGAAGAAGCACCGGCUAAAUACGUG
rnacentral:rRNA from 1 species